UCUGGCUUACGACAGUAGUUACAAACAAUCUCUACAGACUCUGGUUUUCGAUGAUCAGUACUAUUCCUCUGAGGUGCCCGAGGGUUAUUGUUCUUGCUAAAGAGAGCACUACUGGGUUGAGGAAUAGACACACUAGUCGGAGAGCUUUCAAUGCGAAGGACUCGAGUGAAGGCAUCAUCUAAUGAUGGAAUCUUGGAGUCAGAGAGAAUCUGUGUCUUUGCCAUUCCAAAU
rnacentral:lncRNA from 1 species